rnacentral:ncRNA from 1 species
CCUUAUUAAGAGUGGCUGAGGGAAUAGGCCCUAAGACGCCCGGCAACCUAGGUGCGGACAGCAUAAAAGGUGCUAAAUCCUACAGAAUCGAAAGUUCUGAAAGAUGAGG